CCUACGGGUGGCAGCAGUGGGGAAUAUUGCACAAUGGGGGAAACCCUGAUGCAGCGACGCCGCGUGAGUGAAGAAGUAUUUCGGUAUGGAAAGCUCUAUCAGCAGGGAAGAAAUAGCGACCUUUGGUUCGCCAGACGGUACCUGAUUAAGAAGCCCCGGCUAACUACGUGCCAGCAGCCGCGGUAAUACGUAGGGGGCAAGCGUUAUCCGGAUUUACUGGGUGUAAAGGGGGCGUAGACGGCCGCGAAAGUCUGAAGUGAAAUGCCGGGGGUUAACCCCGGAACUGCUUUGGAAACUGUGGAGCUAGAGUGAAGGAGAGGUAAGUGGAAUUCCUAGUGUAGCGGUGAAAUGCGUAGAUAUUAGGAGGAACACCAGUGGCGAAGGCGGCUUACUGGACUGUAACUGACGUUGAGGCUCGAAAGCGUGGGGAGCAAACAGGAUUAGAUACCCUGGUAGUC
rnacentral:rRNA from 1 species